GCAGGAUCUGCACCUGUGUUUGUCCACCCACUUUCCUGCCUCAGCAUUAUUCAGCCAAUUCACAACCGCUAAGUCAACACCUGCGGACGUGGGAGGACGAAUAACCUGUGAGCAGGAGGCCAGAGGAGCUAUGAACCCAAACUGCAUCAAUCCCCAGAAACUUCCUCUGUGAUGACAAGUUGACGGAUCCGGCGGUGGCGGCGCCUGUCAGCACCCCGGUCUGGCUCUGCACCCUGAGAGACAAAAAGUGACUCAGUAAGAGGGAGACAAAGCCUGCAGCCAUCAUGUUGUUUACAGCGAGACCCACGGGACCGCUAAGACGACGGAAAUGAACGCUGCGUAAUCGGGAGGAGAAUCAGUUUUCUUUCUUCCGGAAAAAAAAGUUAAUCCCACUCUGGAUCGGGGCUCUCACAUGGUUUCAGAGACAUGUUUUAAAAAGAUUACACUACAUUACAUGAUGUUAUUUAAGACUUUGUUAGUGGACAUUUGGACACCGGGCAGCACGUCGGUCAGCAAGGCCUCCUUUCAAUCGAGGACCACGGUUCAUGCUUCUGCACCAAUGUGGAGACCUUUGACCUUUGAAAGAUGACCCCUGCUACGUCACAUUAUUAUAUUAUUAAACAGAAUGUGAUAGGUUUUAAAUAUUUUAUGGUUACAUGAGAAUUUUCAAGGCAUACUCAGGAUUAGGUGAGUGAAAACUAAGUACUAAGUCUCUAAAGUCCUUUUCAGGCAUGGAGUCAGACCAAGGUGUUGGUUAUGUAAAUGAAAUGAGUGUGAUGCUAGAUUUGAAAACUUGUUUCCUCCGAGAUGUCUACAUGUAUCACAAUCAAAAAUAAAGGCUGAGAUUAGAGCAAAGCUGUCUGGUCCACCACUGAAAU